rnacentral:lncRNA from 1 species
AACAACCUAGUCUCUUUAUUUGCCCAAGGCCAGCUGUUGCAGGCAUGAAGUCUCCAGAGUUCCAGAAGGGAUGGAGGAAAGGGGGGACACCCAAAUCCUGCUUGUUUCAGGAAGCCUGGAGUUACACAUGCUGAGGCCCGCCCCCCUCUGCCUAAAGUUAGGCUACUUCCUUCCAUUUUCUACCCCCAACAGAAUGAGUUGUAGGCAGCCUGGAGAGUGUCUCAGGAGCCCAUCUGGUGGCCUAUGUGGGGGGGGGGGGGGGGGGGAGGCCAGCCAGGGUCAAGGGCUGGGGAUGGGGGAACGGGAGGAGGGGUAUAGCUAGGAGAGCAGCUGCUGAGUGGAGGGGAGGGAGGUGAGCACUGAAUAGGGGACCCCAGCUGGGGUUCCAUAAUGACAUCAGUGGGGGACAAGCAGAGCUCUCUGUGUCCAGAUGGGGAAACUGAGGCGGAGGCCCCUCUAAUCUUUGGCAAGGGAGGAGCCUCUCAUCAGUUACUACAGUCCAUCCAUCUUCCCCAUGAAGAUGUCUCGGGAACUGGAGUGCCUUCCAGGCCACCACUAAGAGCAUACAUACACCAAGACGUAGCAGCAAGCAGCUGGGUCACCUGGGCACAGAGCCCCUCCACUCCUGACACAGCACAGGAGCACCCUCCCCCACCUCAGCUGCUGGAAGGAGUGCUGGGCUCAGGCGGCUGCUCUCCCUCCCUGCUCUCUCUCCCUGCUCACGUGCCGCCUUGCCCAGAAAGGCUCAUUUUUAGCACCUGGCCUCUUUUCCCUGCAUACAGGAAGCUCAGGGGUACAGCAGGGAAGGAGGCAGCCAAGGGGGACGGAGGACCUGGAAGCAUCCGAGGGGUCUGUGGUUGUCCUGUGUUCCCCUUGCAAAGGUGCUUGGGCUAAUCGAGGAGGCCUCAGCCGCCAUGCAGGGUGGAGAUGAAGAGGAUGCUAUCCUGGUCCUGCAGCUGGUAGUCCAGCUCUCCCUGGCAGUUCCCAGUCGGCAUCAUUAAUCAGGACCAGGAUUCCAGGCCGCCUACUGUCUCCCUGGAUGAAUAGCUCUGGCCGCUCUUUUAGCAAAUUCGUCUUGAUCCAGACAAGGAGGUUCCGGAUAUCCCCUAGAGAGAGAGGCACAGAGCAAACAAAUGUCUUACGGCUUCGCUCCAUCCCCAAGGCGACCCAGAUCUCACUCACCCGAACUCCACCUCCACACAUAAGGGCGCCGCCAUGUUGAGGAAGCCAAACU